rnacentral:rRNA from 1 species
GAUGAACGCUGGCGGCGUGCCUAACACAUGCAAGUCGAGCGAGGGUUUGCUCAGUAUUGAGUAUUCUAAGUCUAGAAUGUUCAAUUCUGAGCAAAACCAAGCGGCGGACGGGUGAGUAACGCGUGGGUAACCUGCCCUAUACACAUGGAUAACAUACUGAAAAGUUUACUAAUACAUGAUAAUAUAUAUUUGCGGCAUCGCAGAUAUAUCAAAGUGUUAGCGGUAUAGGAUGGACCCGCGUCUGAUUAGCUAGUUGGUGAGAUAACUGCCCACCAAGGCGACGAUCAGUAGCCGACCUGAGAGGGUGCUCGGCCACAUUGGAACUGAGACACGGUCCAAACUCCUACGGGAGGCAGCAGUGGGGAAUAUUGCACAAUGGGCGAAAGCCUGAUGCAGCAACGCCGCGUGAACGAUGAAGGUCUUCGGAUCGUAAAGUUCUGUUGCAGGGGAAGAUAAUGACGGUACCCUGUGAGGAAGCCCCGGCUAACUACGUGCCAGCAGCCGCGGUAAUACGUAGGGGGCUAGCGUUAUCCGGAUUUACUGGGCGUAAAGGGUGCGUAGGUGGUCCUUCAAGUCGGUGGUUAAAGGCUACGGCUCAACCGUAGUAAGCCGCCGAAACUGGAGAACUUGAGUGCAGGAGAGGAAAGUGGAAUUCCCAGUGUAGCGGUGAAAUGCGUAGAUAUUGGGAGGAACACCAGUAGCGAAGGCGGCUUUCUGGACUGCAACUGACACUGAGGCACGAAAGCGUGGGUAGCAAACAGG